rnacentral:rRNA from 1 species
AGACAGCAGCCGCCACGGUAAUACAGAGGGUGCGAGCGUUAAUCGGAUUUACUGGGCGUAAAGCGUGCGUAGGCGGCUUCUUAAGUCGGAUGUGAAAUCCCUGAGCUUAACUUAGGAAUUGCAUUCGAUACUGGGAAGCUAGAGUAUGGGAGAGGAUGGUAGAAUUCCAGGUGUAGCGGUGAAAUGCGUAGAGAUCUGGAGGAAUACCGAUGGCGAAGGCAGCCAUCUGGCCUAAUACUGACGCUGAGGUACGAAAGCAUGGGGAGCAAACAGGAUUAGAUACCCCAGUAGUCCCUGUCUCUUAUAA